rnacentral:rRNA from 1 species
UACGUAGGGGGCAAGCGUUGUCCGGAAUCAUUGGGCGUAAAGAGCGCGUAGGCGGCCCUGUAAGUCCGCUGUGAAAGUCAAGGGCUCAACCCUUGAAUGCCGGUGGAUACUGCAGGGCUAGAGUCCGGAAGAGGCGAGUGGAAUUCCUGGUGUAGCGGUGAAAUGCGCAGAUAUCAGGAGGAACACCGGUGGCGAAGGCGGUUCUCUGGGCCUGUACUGACGCUGAGGAGCGAAAGCCAGGGGAGCAAACGGG